rnacentral:rRNA from 1 species
AAUGGGGGAAACCCUGACGCAGCAACGCCGCGUGGGUGAAGAAGGCCUUCGGGUUGUAAAGCCCUGUCAGGUGCGAAGAAACCUCCACAGGUGAAUAGUCUGUGGAGCUGACGGUAGCACCGGAGGAAGCACCGGCUAACUCCGUGCCAGCAGCCGCGGUAAGACGGAGGGUGCAAACGUUGUUCGGAAUCACUGGGCGUAAAGCGCGUGUAGGCGGUCCGAUAAGUCGAGUGUGAAAGCCCGAGGCUCAACCUCGGAAGCGCACUCGAAACUGGCGGGCUUGAGUACGGGAGAGGGAAGUGGAAUUCCUGGUGUAGAGGUGAAAUUCGUAGAUAUCAGGAGGAACACCGGUGGCGAAGGCGGCUUCCUGGACCGAUACUGACGCUGAGACGCGAAAGCGUGGGGAGCAAA